rnacentral:rRNA from 1 species
CUACGGGAGGCAGCAGUUAGGAAUAAUCUACAAUGCACGAAAGUGUGAUAGUUUGAGUCAAAGUGCGUUUCAAUUUGAAGUGCUUUUAUGGAAUGUAAAAAGUUCCACGAAUAAGGACUGGGUAAGACAGGUGCCAGCAGCCGCGGUAAUACCUGCGGUCCAAGUCGCAGCCAUUUUUAUUGGGUCUAAAACAUCCGUAGCUUGCUUGGUAAGUUUCUUGUGAAAUUCCAUAUCUUAAAUAUGGAGCGGGCAGGAAGUACUGCCAAGCUAGAGACUGGGAGACGUAAGAAGUACGUUCGAAGUAGCGGUAAAAUGUGUUAAUCUCGAGCGGACUCACAACAGCGAAGGCAUCUUACGAGAACAGUUCUGACAGUAAGGGAUGAAGGCUAGGGGCGCAAAACGGAUUAGAUACCCCUGUAGUC